CAAUAGUAUCCUCCAGACUCCUCCAGUGGACGAACUUUCACAACACCUUUCGGACUCUUCUAUCGGUCAACCUUCUAUAGCGCCUUCCAAAUUUUGCUAUCGAUCAACCUUCUGUCAGAUUUCUCAUGCAACCAGACCUCUCCAGCGGACAGUCUUUCAGACAAGCUUCUACAUCAAACAAAUUUCAGAUGGACUUCUCUAGCAAUCAGAUUCCAGUCGGAUUCCUCCAAUAGAAAAUUUCCAUCCGGGCUUCUAUAGUAGAUGACUUUCGUCUAC
rnacentral:lncRNA from 1 species